rnacentral:ribozyme from 1 species
UGCCCAGCAACUCCUAUCCCUACCUCCUUGUGGUACCGGCCGGAAACUCU